GAGGAGUGUAGACUGCCCUGCCUCCCUACCCCGCCCGCCCGCCCGCCCUCCUCCCCUCCCGACGUCAAGCCGACGUCGAUGUGAAGUCGUUGCUUCUUCUCCCGCCGCCGCUCCACCCCCGGGCUAAGGCGCGCUCGUGCCCGUGAAGACCGAGGAGCCCGUGCCCGUGGCCACCGUCUCGUCUCCGCCCAGGGCGCUCCCGCCGCCGCGCCUCUGCCGCCAGUUCUGGAAGUCCGGCGACUACGUCGUCACGCACCGCAACCCCGAUGCGGUCGGCCCCGGUGGGCGGAACCGGUUGCGGAUAACCCCAAGUUUCUGCACUCGAAUGUGACUUCCCACAAGUGGGCUUUUGGCGGUAUGGGACGAUCCCCUCAUUGUCUCGGGUGUAGAAUUGGCUAUACUACGCAAAACAAUUGUUUUUAGGAAUUGUUUUGGCUUCAUUAGCAUGAAUAAGAUAAUCUACAUAUUUGUUCACCUGUACUGCUAACUCUGUCUUUUUUAAACGAUGCGAACUUGUAGUUUGGAUUA